ACAUACAUCUCAUACAUAGAAUAAUAUACACAGUUAAAAAUUAAUCCAAAAAUUUCAUCUGAUCCUGGAAGCUAAGCAGGGUCGGGCCUGGUUAGAACUUAGAUGGGAGACCACCUGGGAAUACCAGGUGCUGUAGGCU
rnacentral:rRNA from 1 species